rnacentral:rRNA from 1 species
GACGAACGCUGGCGGCGUGCUUAACACAUGCAAGUCGAACGGAAAGGCCCUGCUUUUGUUGUUUGCUCGAGUGUCGAAAGGGUGAGUAACACGUGAGUAACCUGCCCUUUACUUUGGGAUAAUUUCAUGAAACUGGGUCUCAUACCGGGUAUGAGCUCCUGCUGCAUGUUGGGGUUUUGAAAGUUUCGGCGGUUGGGGAUGGACUCGCGGAUUAUCAUCUUGUUGGUGGGGUAGUGGCUUACUAAGGCGUUGACGGGUAGCCGGCCUGAGAGGGUGACCGGCCACAUUGGGACUGAGAUACGGCCCAGACUCCUACGGGAGGAAGCAGUGGGGAAUAUUGCACAAUGGGCGGAAGCCUGAUGCAGCAACGCCGCGUGCGGGAUGACGGACUUCGGGUUGUAAACCGCUUUCGCCUGUGACGAAGCGUGAGUGACGGUAAUGGGUAAAGAAGCACCGGCUAACUACGUG